rnacentral:rRNA from 1 species
CAGUAGCCGCGGGAAAACGAAGGGGGCUAGCGUUGUUCGGAUUUACUGGGCGUAAAGCGCACGUAGGCGGAUCAUUAAGUCAGAGGUGAAAUCCCAAGGCUCAACCUUGGAACUGCCUUUGAUACUGGGGAUCUCGAGUCCGGGAGAGGUGAGUGGAACUGCGAGUGUAGAGGUGAAAUUCGUAGAUAUUCGCAAGAACACCAGUGGCGAAGGCGGCUCACUGGCCCGGAACUGACGCUGAGGUGCGAAAGCGUGGGGAGCAAACAGGAUUAGAUACCCGGGUAGUCCCUGUCUCUUAUAC